AUGCAAAUAUGCUGCUAGCUCCUGAGGUGGGAGAGCCUGCAUGCUGGGAGUCAGCCAAGCUGAGAUACUCCCUGAGACUCUGAUGGCAGAUAUUCCAGGAGAGGAACAAACUGGAGGAACCCCUGCAGCAGAUGACCCGGCUUUCAUGCUGCAUGCAGGACUCACAUGAACCAGCAUACACCAACCUCUCUCAAGGCUUCAGUCAUUUCCACUGGGACUUUGUUUGGACCUGCUGCUUUUCCAGGUGUCCCCUUCAGCAGUGCAGCCUUGGCAUCUGACUCGGACAGGUCAAUGACUUUGUGAAAUGGGCUCCCAGUAUGACAAACUCCUUCUGCAUAUGGAAGUCAAAUGGUUAUCCCGCGGGAAGGUGGUUAACUGUGUCGUCAGUUUCAAGGAUGAACUCCGGCUCUUCCUGUCAGAACACAACCCUGAAUUGGCAGAAAACUUAACCAAUGAAAGAUGGCUCUUGAUUCUUUGCUAUCCCGUAGACAUUUUUGAGAAAUUAAAUGAUCUCGACUCUUCACUCCAGGGAAAGAACAGCAACAUCUUGCUGCUUGGUGACAAGAUUUCUGCAUUCCUGAAGAAGCUCACUCUGUGUGGAGAGAGAAAUAUGAGACAGCAAUGCAGUCAGUUUCCGUUGUCUCAGUGAAUUCACAGAACAAUAUCAACUUGACCACAAACAAAUUGAUAAAGUUGUCUCUAAUCAUCUGAAAAAUCUCUGAGAGUUAUAGGAGAAGUGUCAUGGACUGCCAGCAGAGAAGGCUGAUUGGACUAGAAACCGUUUUCGCACAGAUUUGGCAGCUAUCCAUCUCCCUCUUGCUGAACGAGAAAAGCUGUCAGAACUACCAAAUGAUCACACCCGGUUGAUGGAAUUCAAAGGAAAAGCACUGGGAAGUUUUUGGCUCUCUGUGGAAAAAGGAGUAUCCAGGACUUGCCAUAAGCACUCUUGCCAUUCGCAUCCACAUACGUAUGCGAGACUACCUUCGCCGAGCUGGUGGCAAUCAAGACCAAACAGCGCUCACGACUCCAGCUGGAAAAUGAUCUCAGAGUAGCAGUCUCCAGGAUAAAACCAAACCGGGAUGUCAUUGUCUCAGAAAUGCAGUUAAUAUAAGUGGUUAAUUUUUUCUUCAUUUGAAAUUUUUUUAAAAUGUUUGCAGUUUGUAAUACUUCAUGUUUACCACUUCCUAGUA